UAUUGGUUGUCGACAACGUCAACUCUCUUCUACUUAUUACAAAGCACUCUCAAAGCUACCAGUUCAUUAAGUAAAGGAACAAAUCACAGCCGGACCUCCAUCCAAACUUCUUUUAGAAUGAGUUUUGCAGGUCAAGUUUGACCUCGUGGUCCACCAAAAAGGACACUGGUAGACUGGUAGAGCACAAUGUGGUAGUGGUUAAGGCCAUAGUUCAAGCCUCCCAUUGAAAUUAAAAGAUGAAAAUGCUUAACGAUGUAUUUUUGGAAUCAUUGUAGUUCUCUAUGGGGUUUCUGAAAUUCUUUGCAAGGUUGGCAUGACCAAUAGUACUAGUACUAUUGUUGCCCUUUAUAUAUAUGUAAUAGUUUGCUGAGAGUGCUUGUUCACAGAUCUACUUAUUGGUCGAUGAAGACAUUGGUGGAGUCAAAUCUAACAGAGAAAAAGACCCUACUUACUAUUUUUCAUGAAACAAUAUGUUGCAUAUUCAUUUUAAUUUGUCACCAGUAGUGGCUUUUUUUUGGGUAUUGGUCUAAAAUUUUUUAUUACCUUAUACUCUUUGCAGCCAUUUUAAUUGUCCCUGAACUUGGCCCAAGCACCAAGUUCGCAUACGCUUCACACAAAGCGGUCUCUGAGUACAAGGAGGCAAAGGUGUGACAGGGAAAAAAAUGCAGCAACUGAUAAGCACAGUGCUAGAGCUCUGGCGCAAAACUCAGGAUGGCACCUUGCUGUCCAAUUCGACCAGAGAGCUUGCAGCGGGGUUCUGUACCCACAAAAGUUAAUUUCUAAGUAUCUUCUGUUUGGUUAUAUUUGUUCCCUAUUGGACUUACGAUUGCAUUAAUAUCUGGACACUAGAAACCAAGUUGUGGCAAAGCUAUGAAUUUCAAAUUCAUGUGGAUGCCCUCAUUUCGUUAGAUCUAAUUGCAUCAUCUAGAAACAGACUCAAGAAUUUGAUCCCAAGGUGAAUAAAUGCCCUCGUCCUAUCAA